rnacentral:tRNA from 10 species
UCCUCGGUAGCUCAGCGGUAGAGCCCUCGACUGUUAAUCGAGUUGUCGCAGGUUCGAAUCCUGCCCGGGGAGCCA